rnacentral:rRNA from 1 species
AGAGUUCGAUCCUGGCUCAGGAUGAACGCUGGCGGCGUGCCUAACACAUGCAAGUCGAACGAGAUGCGUAUUGGAAAGCUUCGGCCGGAAGAUACGUUAUCUAGUGGCGGACGGGUGAGUAACACGUGGGUAACCUGCCUUAUGGAGGGGGAUAACAGAGAGAAAUCACUGCUAAUACCGCAUAAGCACACAGUACCGCAUGGUACAGGGUGAAAAGAUUUAUCGCCAUAAGAUGGACCCGCGUCUGAUUAGCCAGUUGGCAGGGUAAAAGCCUACCAAAGCAACGAUCAGUAGCCGAUCUGAGAGGAUGACCGGCCACAUUGGGACUGAGACACGGCCCAAACUCCUACGGGAGGCAGCAGUGGGGAAUAUUGCACAAUGGGGGAAACCCUGAUGCAGCGACGCCGCGUGAGUGAAGAAGUAUUUCGGUAUGUAAAGCUCUAUCAGCAGGGAAGAAAAUGACGGUACCUGACUAAGAAGCCCCGGCUAACUACGUGCCAGCAGCCGCGGUAAUACGUAGGGGGCAAGCGUUAUCCGGAUUUACUGGGUGUAAAGGGAGCGUAGACGGAAUGGCAAGUCUGAAGUGAAAUACCCGGGCUCAACCUGGGAACUGCUUUGGAAACUGUUGUUCUAGAGUGUUGGAGAGGUAAGUGGAAUUCCUGGUGUAGCGGUGAAAUGCGUAGAUAUCAGGAAGAACACCGGAGGCGAAGGCGGCUUACUGGACAAUAACUGACGUUGAGGCUCGAAAGCGUGGGGAUCAAACAGGAUUAGAUACCCUGGUAGUCCACGCUGUAAACGAUGAAUACUAGGUGUCGGGGAGCAAAGCUUCUCGGUGCCGUCGCAAACGCAAUAAGUAUUCCACCUGGGGAGUACGUUCGCAAGAAUGAAACUCAAAGGAAUUGACGGGGACCCGCACAAGCGGUGGAGCAUGUGGUUUAA